CAGAGGAUAGUUUAAAAAAUAUUAAAUUUGGGGUUUAAAGAUAGGAUGGUUAUUCUUUCUCUGA
rnacentral:tRNA from 1 species